UACGUAGGGUGCGAGCGUUUGUCCGGAAUUUAUUGGGCGUAAAAGAGCUCGUAGGCGGUGUGUCGCGUCGGCCGUGAAAACCUGGGGGCUUAACUCUGGGCGUGCGGUCGAUACGGGCAUCACUAGAGUUCGGCAGGGGAGACUGGAAUUCCUGGUGUAGCGGUGAAAUGCGCAGAUAUCGGGAGGAACACCAAUGGCGAAGGCAGCUCGCUGGGACGUUACUGACGCUGAGACGGCGAAAGCGUGG
rnacentral:rRNA from 1 species